GCGGCGAAAGGGUGAGUAACACGUAACCAACGUACCCCUCAGAUCGGGAUAACCACUGGAAACGGUGGAUAAUACCGAAUGGUCCUAGGAAGGACAUCCUUCCAAAGGUAAACGGCGGCUUAGGCGGCUGUUGAGGGAGCGGGUUGCGUCCUAUCAGUUAGUUGGUGAGGUAACGGCUCACCAAGGCGAUGACGGGUAGCGGGUCUGAGAGGAUGAUCCGUCACACUGGGACUGAGACACUGCCCAGACUCCUACGGGAGGCUGCAGUCGAGAAUCUUCCACAAUGGGCGAAAGCCUGAUGGAGCGACGCUGCGUGUAGGAUGAAGGCCUUCGGGUUGUAAACUACUGUCACGCUAUAGGAACCCGUGCAGGUUAAUAGUCUGUACGCUGACCAAAGCGAGAGGAAGUGCCGGCUAACUCCGUGCCAGCAGCCGCGGUAAGACGGAGGGCGCAAGCGUUGUUCGGAAUCACUGGGCAUAAAGGGCGCGUAGGCGGCCAGUUAAGUCAAAUGUGAAAUCCCUCGGCUCAACCGGGGAACUGCAUUCGAAACUAGCUGGCUAGAGGAUGGUAGGAGCCAAUGGAACUCCAGGUGGAACGGUGAAAUGUGUAGAUAUCUGGAGGAACACCGAUGGCGAAAGCAAUUGGCUGGGCCAUUUCUGACGCUGAGGCGCGAAAGCUAGGGGAGCGAACGGGAUUAGAUACCCCGGUAGUCCUAGCCGUAAACGAUGGGUACUGGG
rnacentral:rRNA from 1 species